rnacentral:snRNA from 1 species
CCGCCAACAAUGAAACAAUAUAAAUAAAAUUAGCAUGGUCCAUGUGCAAGAAUGACAUGCAUAAAUUGAGAAAUAGUUUAAAUUUUU